UACGUAGGCAGCGAGCGUUGUUCGGAGUUACUGGGCGUAAAGGGCGCGUAGGCGGCUGUACAAGUCAAAGGUGAAAUCCCUCGGCUCAACUGAGGAACUGCCUUUGAAACUGUACGGCUUGAGGCCGGGAGGGGGUAGCGGAAUUCCCAGUGUAGCGGUGAAAUGCGCAGAUAUCAGGAGGAACACCAAUGGCGAAGGCAGCACUCUGGGACGUGACUGACGCUGAGACGCGAAAGCGUGGGGAGCAAACAGG
rnacentral:rRNA from 1 species